GACGGACGCUGGCGGCGUGCUUAACACAUGCAAGUCGAACGGGAUUUAGUAAACGGAAGCCUCGGUGGAAGAUUACUACUGAGAGUGGCGAACGGGUGAGUAACGCGUGAGCAACCUGCCUAUGACAGUGGGAUAGCCUCGGGAAACCGGGAUUAAUACCGCAUAAAAUCGUAGAAACACAUGUUUCAACGGUCAAAGAUUUAUCGGUCAUAGAUGGGCUCGCGUCUGAUUAGCUAGUUGGUGAGAUAACAGCCCACCAAGGCGACGAUCAGUAGCCGGUCUGAGAGGAUGAACGGCCACAUUGGAACUGAGACACGGUCCCAACUCCUACGGGAGGCAGCAGUGGGGAAUAUUGCACAAUGGGGGAAACCCUGAUGCAGCGACGCCGCGUGAACGAAGAAGGUAUUCGUAUCGUAAAGUUCUGUCCUAUGGGAAGAUAAUGACAGUACCAUAGAAGAAAGCUCCGGCUAAAUACGUG
rnacentral:rRNA from 1 species